rnacentral:lncRNA from 1 species
GCAGGCGCUCCCGGCCCCCCUCCUCUCUCUCGGCCCCAACGGUCCCAGGGCACGCGGCGGCGCAUCUCGGCACGCAGACCCCUCCCAGGCCCAGCACGGAGCCGGAAGGGGGAUGGAGGGGGAAAGGCGGGAGUUCGCUGCGGGGCGAGGGGAAGAGGAAAGACUUACCAAGAAGAAUUUUGAUCUAGAAAAGUUACAUAUCCCCAAGGAGAAAAACAGAUAUGAACAAACUGAGAUUCCAACUGUGGCUAUGGAAAAUCAGACACUGCUUGGUGGAAUUUCAAGUACAGAAGAUGGAUUUAUCACUGAAAUAUUUAGUCAAAAUAGUCCAUUUAAUUCUGAAAACCUUAACUUGGAAAAUACAGUAAUUAAUAAACCUGGUGAAGAAGGGUUUCACUCCAGUCAAGACAGUCAUUUAUGCGCUAUGGCUGUUGGAGAAAUUUGCUGGAUCAAUUCAAAUACCCUCUUACUAUUGAAAGUCAAAAUACAAUACUCAAGGUCAAAAUACAGCCACUUGUGGAAGACAAUCAUGAUAAUGAAAUCCUUGGAAAAUGUCAGAAGCUACAAGACCUAAAUCCUUCAGAAGAAGCUAAACAUACAUAUCCACCUUAUCCACUGUUGCACUCAUACAAUGUCCAUUUUCUGUCUUCCUUAAUGAUGCAACAAAGAAAUUCUAAUGUUUUGUCACUAAGUACCUGCCCUCCAGAAGGAACAAUCAAUCAAAAUGUCAGAAUGAUACCAGUAAGAUUCAACAAAAUAGAGAUUUCUUUUUAUAAACGUUUUCUUGAUUUAUGUGUGUGAAUAAGCACAGUUCCCAUAUAAAGAGAAAGCAUAAGAUGCUUUAAAGUUAUUACUAUAUAAGUUGUAUUAGCUACAAUUUCUUUGCCUCUUUUAUUCUUCUCUUCUAUAUAGAACAUAGGACCUUCACCACUGCCUUCCAUUUUUGCCAGUCUCCUGCUGCAGUCUUAGGUUCACCAUGUCAUUUUGAUAGCUUUCAAUUCUGCUUGUAUUGUGCAUUUCCAUGUUAUCCUUGGUCUUGUUGCUGCUUACCCCAGAGAUUCCAGUCCAACACCCAUCUUGUUAUUCUAUUUGGGUCUUUCCUCCAUGUAUGUCCUAGCCAUCUUCAUUUUUUUCUGUAAUUUCCUGUUCUACUGGUU